AUCAUAAACAAAACAUUUGUUGUGUUUGUUUGUUUAUUUUUUGCUUUUGGGUUUUGUUGUUGUUUUCGCUAUUUACCACAAUCUUUUUGGUCAAUGUUUUAGGUGGAGUCACUUUCAAGUGACUUUAUUUCUUCCGAUAUGAAGCAGUCUCAGAUAAUGAGGAACUUUUAUAGUUAUUUAAUUAUUAUUGCUGAUUUUAUUAUUUCCCAGUACCCUUCAAUGGAAAUGGUGUUGACAGUCUCCUCAAGCCCAAGAGAGGGAAAGGAGUGAACUCCCAAGCCUUUUGGAAAUGGGAAGGUACAAGAGCUGCUCUUUCAGAGAGAAAGCCAACAUGGCUUGGAAACCAUACAGUGAGAAAUGAGCCCAAUUUUCUAGGCAGGUCUGAAUUUUCUAGGCAGCCCAAUUUUCUUGGCAUGUCAGGCCGGUGCAGUGUGUUGUGGGAGAGGAGCAUGGCAGAGACUGGACUGCAGGGCCUCUAUACCUCACCGACCACAGGCUGGACUAGGCCACUCCGACUUGCCAGGCACAAUGCACAUCCCCGUCCUCUCCAAUGGCUCCAUUUCUCCCUCCCCAAAACUGAGGGGGACCAAACCUUAAUCAAAAGAGUUGAAGUUUCAGAACACCCUUGAUAGAACCUUCACAGAGAACACAGAUGCUGUUGUCAGUGCCCUUAGAAACAAUAGGGCCCACCUUACCAGCAGGUUGCUUGAGGAAUUCAACAUGCCAGAGUCCUUUGUACUCUGUCCCUCCAGGUGCUGGGCCACCAUUCAGAGAAAAUGGGCAGCUGGAAGAUAAGAUUGCAGGGUGCUGCUAGGCAGACCUGGGUUCAAAUCAUAAUUCUGCCACCUUACUUGUUAUGCAACCUCAGGCCCUCUGCAUCAGGGAAUCUGUACUAUGGGCCACAGCCAAGGAGCUGGCAGUCGAAGCCUCCACGUGGGUAGAUCGCACACUUUAACGGACAGCAAAGAAGGGGCACUAACAUUUAUUGAACACUUACUGUUCCAAUGUCAGGAAGAGUUGAUGAGAAGCUUCAAUCGAUAGCAGAAUCUCCCAGUCUGGAGCACAGCAGAGGACUUACAUAGCCAGGGAUGGUUUGUCAAAGCAAAUUUCACAUGCAACUGAUUCCAUCACCCUGGGACUCUGGCGGAAUAAAUAAUCACCAUACACAUUUUGUUAGCUACGCCUCGUUAGAGAUGGAUUUUAGGAAGUGGCAUCCUGAAGGCUGCUUAUCUGUCAGUGCUCCUUUAAGCAUGGUAAGCUUUCCAGAUUGGCUUUCCUAGAAAAUUAGACCAUUGCCAUGGCCAGGUACCACCUGUCAUGGUUACUGGCAUUGUGGGAGCCAAAGGGAGGGAUAUAAAGGCCUGAGCUCACCUUCAGAAAAAGUGCUGGCAGAAUGCUGGGAAGACAUUUCCUUGCAGAGUGAAAACGAUCAGAACUCUUGCCAAGAAGGCUCUUGACUUGAGCAUCAAAGAAUUCCAGCUUCAAGUCACAGUGUAUUUCUACAACUUUCUCCCACAUCUCUCUUACCACACUUAUUCUAUCUUGAGUUGGAUCCCACUGAAUGGAAUGUUGGAUGGACCAUCCCUGUGAUUCUGCCCUGUUUUCUGUGUUUCUAUGAUUACAAGGGAUGUGGCCUGGCCACCAUGGAUGUUCCAAUUGUAUGUGAUGUUCCAAUUGCAUUGAAUUUGCAUACCGAGUGUAUUGUGAACCAGGUGCUGUAUUUUGUCUGGGAAACAGAGGGCUCAGUGACCAGUCCCUGUCCUUGAGUGGUGGGACCCUAGGGACAACAGGGCCCCUAACAACAUCCAUUCACACAAAGGUCCCAGGGUGUGGUUUGGGGAUUUUAUUUUUAACCUAAUUUGGCACCCAGCAUAUCAUGGAGCCACAAUCUGCAUUCUUAAUUUUAAAGCCUAUAUCUCUUUUAUCUCUGUGUACUCCUUAACAUUUUUUCCGCUCUAAUUCUUAUAUCUUAUACAGUCUUGUUUCCGAGGCCACACAAGCCUCAAGAAAAAUAAAGCUCUGGGACUAAUUAAUAAGGUUGCUGGCUCUGGACUCCACCCAAUUUUGUUAACAGGCUAACUACCCCUUACCUCACAUUCAUGUCACAUGCCCCACAUCUACUUUGUGUCACACGGACACCUCUGUAGGCCCUAAACCACUCCUAUAUCAUGUCAACCAUAUUUAAAUAUGCCCAUAGCCUUCAUUUAGAGACAUAUAGGCAGAUGGAGAGUUACAGAGUUCUAUACAUACUUAUCUAUAUUAUAUAUUAUUCUACAUUGUUUUGCUAUAAAUUUUUUGAAAGGAUGUUCAAUUUUCAUACAUUUGAGUUUGUGAAGAAUACAUUAUUUUAUUUUUAUGAUCCAAACAUUUCAUAUUUACCUAUAACUAUAUGAGACCUAUA